GUAGGUGGUGUGUCGCNUCGUCUGUGAAAUUCCGGGGCUUAACUCCGGGCGUGCAGGCGAUACGGGCACGACUAGAGUGCUGUAGGGGUAACUGGAAUUCCUGGUGUAGCGGUGAAAUGCGCAGAUAUCAGGAGGAACACCGAUGGCGAAGGCAGGUUACUGGGCAGUUACUGACGCUGAGGAGCGAAAGCAUGGGGAGCGAACAGGAUUAGAUACCCUGGUAGUCCAUGCUGUAAACGGUGGGCGCUAGGUGUGGGCUGUGUGUUUGCAGUCUGUGCCGUAGCUAACGCAUUAAGCGCCCCGCCUGGGGAGUACGGCCGCAAGGCUAAAACUCAAAGGAAUUGACGGGGGCCCGCACAAGCGGCGGAGCAUGUGGAUUAAUUCGAUGCAACGCGAAGAACCUUACCUGGGUUUGACAUGCACCAGAUCGGCGUAGAGAUACGUCCUCCCUUGUGGUUGGUGCACAGGUGGUGCAUGGUUGUCGUCAGCUCGUGUCGUGAGAUGUUGGGUUAAGUCCCGCAACGAGCGCAACCCUUGUCUUAUGUUGCCAGCACAUUUUUGGUGGGGACUCAUGAGAAACUGCCGGGGUCAACUCGGAGGAAGGUGGGGAUGACGUCAAAUCAUCAUGCCCUUUAUACCCAGGGCUUCACACAUGCUACAAUGGUCGGUACAACGGGUUGCGACACUGUGAAGUGAAGCUAAUCUCUUAAAGCCGGCCUCAGUUCGGAUUGGGGUCUGCAACUCGACCCCAUGAAGUCGGAGUCGCUAGUAAUCGCAGAUCAGCAACGCUGCGGUGAAUACGUUCCCGGGCCUUGUACACACCGCCCGUCACGUCAUGAAAGUUGGUAACACCCGAAGCCCAUGGCCUAACCACCGCUUUUGUGGUGGGGGGAGUGG
rnacentral:rRNA from 1 species